rnacentral:ncRNA from 2 species
AAACUUAAUAGACGUGAUUUGUAAGCCAAAUUGCAGCGUCUUAAAAUAAAUCGCUAAAAAGGAGUCAAAAUGAACAAU